rnacentral:rRNA from 1 species
GACGAACGCUGGCGGCGUGCUUAACACAUGCAAGUCGAACGGACAGGCCCUGCUCUUGUGGGGUGCUCGAGUGGCGAACGGGUGAGUAACACGUGAGUAACCUGUACUUGACUUUGGGAUAACUUCAGGAAACUGGGGCUCAUACCGGAUAGGAGCUCCUGCUGCACGGUGGGGGUUGGAAAGUUUCGGCUGUUGGGGCUGGACUAGCGGCUUAUCAGCUUGUUGAUGGGGUAGUGGCUUACCAAGGCUUUGACGGGUAGCCGGCCUGAGAGGGUUACCGGCCACAUUGGGACUGAGAUACGGCCCAGACUCCUACGGGACGCAGCAGUGGGGAAUAUUGCACAAUGGGCGGAAGCCUGAUGCAGCAACGCCGCGUGCGGGAUGACGUCCUUCGGGUUGUAAACCGCUUUCGCCGGUGACGAAGCGUGAGUGACGGUAAUGGGUAAGGAAGCACCGGCUAACUACGUG